UACAUAGGUCUCAAGCGUUGUUCGGAUUCAUUGGGCGUAAAGGGUGCGUAGGUGGCGUGGUAAGUCAGGUGUGAAAUUUCGGAGCUUAACUCCGAAACUGCAUUUGAUACUGCCUUGCUUGAGGACUGGAGAGGAGACUGGAAUUCACGGUGUAGCAGUGAAAUGCGUAGAUAUCGUGAGGAAGACCAGUGGCGAAGGCGGGUCUCUGGACAGUUCCUGACACUGAGGCACGAAGGCCAGGGGAGCAAACGGG
rnacentral:rRNA from 1 species